UAUACAAAACCAGAACGCUCUGGAACAACCAGUUGUCUGCCAAACCUUCAGCGAGGUACAGAGAGCAGCGUGGAUGAGAGAUGUUGCUGCCUUAGAGGCUUUGCUACAAAUGCAGGAACAGGAAGUGACUUGUAAUUGUGUGCAGAAUAUGUGUCCGCUUCUUUGUGGGUGCUGCGGUUCAUACCCGGCUUCAUCUUUGUCACUCUCCUCUGUCACGGACCAGCUCAGGUUCUGGGAGACAAGCACAGGGCCCAUCGCAGACAGUGGUCAAAGGACGUGUUGGGACUCCAGUUUCUGAAAUAAUCAUCGUCCCCAAAGCGGUUCCAGUACUUGUCCCCGUCUUUCUGGGAGACGCUGCCCAGCCACUGGUUGUCGUCUAGGAAGUUACCAUUGUUGAGGCCCGAGCCUCCACAUCGCCUUCUUCAACGUUGCUGCCCAUGAUAAGCCUUUAGGCCCCGUCUCCUUCUAGCUGUUUGCAAACAAAGUUCCAAAGACAGCAGAAAACUUUAAUGCUCUGAGAGCUGGAGGGAAAGGAUUUGGUCCUGAGGGUUCCUGCUUUCACCGGAUUAUUCCAGGAUUUAUGUGCCAGGGUGGUGACUUCAAAGGCCACAGUGGCACUGGCAACAAAGCCAUCUACAGGGAGAAAUUCGAGGAGGAGAACGUCAUCGUGAAGCACACAGGCCCUGCCACCUUGUCCAUGGAGGAUGCCGGGCCAGACACAAACGGCUCCGAGCUUUUCAUCUGCACUUCCGGAAGAGCGGUUGGACGGUAAGCAAAGCGAGCGGUCUUCCGGAAGGGGAAGAGAGCGCGAACAUGGGGGUGGGGGGCAUGGCGCGCUUUGGGGCCAGGGACACCAAAAGCUGCACAAAGAUCACCAAGGUGACUGGAGAACUCCAGCGUGCUUGACUGGCCUGUGUCCCAUUCCUCUGCAGAGCCCUCCGCCCCAUCUGCUCUCAGGAUUCCAUUGUCUCCGUACUCUCACUGCGGAUCUUUGGGUUCCGUAUUUUCCUUGCUCCCCUCUAGGUCUAGCUGGAUUGCAGAUUUAAGUUGAUGGUAAUCAAUACAAACUAAAUAAUGAAAAGAAUUUUUUCACGCCCGGCCCCAUCACUAACAUUUUUAUGAAAUAUGUAUUUAUUUCUUUAGUAUAUUUAAAAAUUGCAUAAGUGAAAUGGUCCUGUCAAGUGAAUAGAUUCAGCUACACAAGAAACUACCCCCAGGCGUUAUUUCCAUUGGGAAGGCAAGACGAUAAAAAGCAUUAUUGGUGAAACCACCAGAGGGCACUCUCACACAGGGUUCAAUUUCCACAUCCCUCACCCCAAGGCAGUGAUUUAAAAGCAUUUAAUUAGCAGAGAAUUUGGAUAUUCAUUAGUUGUGAAUGAGUAGUAGGAUAAAUGGCAGUAGUGAAAUUAAGUGUUGGAAUAGUCAGAGGCUAUUUUUCAUUUUGUUGAUCUACUCAUCAAACAAAAACUCCUAAUGAGAAAGCUGACUUUUUGAUUGGCCAAGAGGAAAUAAUGGUUCAGCAAGGGCCCUAAUGCCUACUGAACCAAUGCCUAGGGAUCUAUGUGGUUUUUCUAAAGACAUUGUUUUCCAAUCAUGAGUGUAGUUCACUUACUUUUAAAAGAGACCAAAUCGGAAAAUAAUUGCCCUAUCCAAGAGAACAUUAUUAACAUUUUUGUGUUCUUCAUUUUAUUUCUCUGCAUUAAUAUAUUUUGGAAAUAAAAAUAAAAGGACUAGGAAUGUAGCUCAGUAGUAGAGUGCUUGCCCAGCAUGUAUGAGGCAGUGGGUUUAAUCCCCAGUGUAGCUAAAUAAAUAAAAUAGGGCUUGUUAUGCAUGCUGUUUUGUAGCUUGCAUUUUUCAUUUAAUAGGAAUCUUUUCCACAUCAUUAAAUACUCUGAUUUAAUGGGUGCAUGCUCUAUAAUCUGAAUUGUCAUAAUUUAAUUAACUUCCUACUGUUAGACAUUAUCUCUGUUUCUGUUUGCUCCAUGUUAUAAAUAAUGCUGUUACUAACAUCCUGGUAGAUCCUUCCUGAGUUAUUUCCUUAAAUUAAUUUCUGCAUGUGUAGCUAUUGAAUCAAAAAGCAUUCAUGCUCACUUAUGUAUGUACAUACGUGUGUAUUUAUGUAGUAGUACUGGGGAUUGAACCCAGGGUCUUCACACUGAGCUAUGUCUUUUUUUUUUUCAAACCUUACUUUUUAUUUUUAAGAAGAAUUAAAUGUUGAACCAUGAUGUUAUGAUAUCUACUUAUGAAUUUUAUCUGUACUCUUUGAAAUUGCACUGGCCAAACAUAUUGUUCACAUGAUUAGAAACAAUAAAUUUAGUGAUUAAUUGUA